GAAAAGCAGGGGAUCUUCGGACCUUGCGCUAAUAGAUGAGCCUAAGUCGGAUUAGCUAGUUGGUGGGGUAAAGGGCCUACCAAAGGCGACGAUCUGUAGCGGGUCUGAGAGGAUGAUCCGCCACACUGGGACUGAGAACACGGCCCAGACUCCUACGGGAGGCAGCAGUGGGGAAUAUUGGACAAAUGGGCGCAAAGCCUGAUCCAGCCAUGCCGCGUGUGUGAAGAAAGGCCUUAUGGUUGUAAAGCACUUUAAGCGAGGAGGAGGCUACUUUAGUUAAUACCUAGAGAUAGUGGACGUUACUCGCAGAAUAAGCACCGGCUAACUCUGUGCCAGCAGCCGCGGUAAUACAGAGGGUGCAAGCGUUAAUCGGAUUUACUGGGCGUAAAGCGCGCGUAGGCGGCUAAUUAAGUCAAAUGUGAAAUCCCCGAGCUUAACUUGGGAAUUGCAUUCGAUACUGGUUAGCUAGAGUGUGGGAGAGGAUGGUAGAAUUCCAGGUGUAGCGGUGAAAUGCGUAGAGAUCUGGAGGAAUACCGAUGGCGAAGGCAGCCAUCUGGCCUAACACUGACGCUGAGGUGCGAAAGCAUGGGGAGCAAACAGGAUUAGAUACCCUGGUAGUCCAUGCCGUAAACGAWGUAMUAMUAGCCGUUGGGGCCUUUGAGGCUUUAGUGGCGCAGCUAACGCGAUAAGUAGAACCGCCUGGGGAGUACGGUCGCAAGACUAAAACUCAAAUGAAUUGACGGGGGCCCGCACAAGCGGUGGAGCAUGUGGUUUAAUUCGAUGCAACGCGAAGAACCUUACCUGGCCUUGACAUAGUAAGAACUUUCCAGAGAUGGAUUGGUGCCUUCGGGAACUUACAUACAGGUGCUGCAUGGCUGUCGUCAGCUCGUGUCGUGAGAUGUUGGGUUAAGUCCCGCAACGAGCGCAACCCUUUUCCUUAUUUGCCAGCGAGUAAUGUCGGGAACUUUAAGGAUACUGCCAGUGACAAACUGGAGGAAGGCGGGGACGACGUCAAGUCAUCAUGGCCCUUACGGCCAGGGCUACACACGUGCUACAAUGGUCGGUACAAAGGGUUGCUACCUAGCGAUAGGAUGCUAAUCUCAAAAAGCCGAUCGUAGUCCGGAUUGGAGUCUGCAACUCGACUCCAUGAAGUCGGAAUCGCUAGUAAUCGCGGAUCAGAAUGCCGCGGUGAAUACGUUCCCGGGCCUUGUACACACCGCCCGUCACACCAUGGGAGUUUGUUGCACC
rnacentral:rRNA from 1 species